ensembl:lncRNA
AUAACAAUGAACAUUACUGUCAUGAAGUUGGCUAUAGCUCAGAACAGUGAUGAAUUCAUACAUGUAUUGAAAUCUUCAGGUAAUAAUUUCAACCUCUCAGUGCUUAAAAGAGGAGACCUUAUUCUGAGGCAAUUGCUUGUCCCGGGUAAAAAGCUUUUCCAUGCUGGAAUUUACUGUGGAGAAAAUGAAGUCAUUCAGUUUACAUGUGCAGCGCCUCCAGCCCAAACCCAAAUAUCACCAUCAAGUUCUAGCUGCUCAAGUUCAAACUACCAAAGUUGUCAAUUACUGACAAAUCAACAGGGGCUUGUGGACAAAAUAAGUGUGAAAACAUUCAUCUCAGGCAAGCUCUUCCACGUUUAUCGGUUGAAGAAGGGCCCCCCUGAAGAUCUCUCUCAGAAAAUUUCUGAGGCAAUGGAUUAUAAUGAAGACUAUAAUCUCUUAAUGAAUAACUGUUUGCAUUUUGCACUUAAAGUUCUGGGGUUUUCACCAGGGCCCAUGCCAGAAAGCCCACCACAGGAUACAGAUGUGACACAAGACAUCAGUAUGGAUGAAUAUACUAAUUUGGUGAAUUAACAGGAAAGAAAUUUUAAUGAAAAUACUUUUGUUUUGAUUGUUUUGAUCUCAAAAGAUUUUAGAAUGCAAAAAUAGAUUAUAUAGAACAUAUGCUUGAUUUAUAUUAAUUGAAUAAAAAUAUUUAAAUAUAAGAGAUUUAAGAGUGA